rnacentral:misc_RNA from 1 species
GGGACACUCACAGAAGAAUAUUGAGAGAGAGAGAGACAGAAAGAUAUAUUAUUAGGGCAUGUGUGUGUUUCUACUCAUUUCCAUUUCCUUGCUUCUUAUUUAACCCUAUCAUCUCUCUCUUUCCCCAUUCCUCAACCUUUCUUUUUCUUUUCUCUCUCUUUUCCUUCCCCUUUUCUUCCUUUUCUCUUCCUCGGGAUCUGAUCUCUUUCUUCUCUUCUCCCCUACACAAUAAGACAUUCAUCCCCUGGGAUUGCAAACACUUGGCCUUCACUUCAAUUCCCCAGGAACGCUUUCUUGUUUCUUUGUUUUUUUCUGUUCCCUUCCUUUCUUUCUGUGUUCUUUUCUUUUUGUCUGGUUCAGUGCUCUUGUACAAAAGGUGAAUGAGAGCGAGUGAUAAAGCUCUAGCUUAAAGUCUGUUACCUUUAAGCUGAUUGGCGACUUCAUUAUUCCAUCAACCAGGGUGAAUCAGAUCUAAGCAGGAGUUUUCACUCGAGCCUAGGGUCUGCUGCUCUACAAGAUUAUCACGGUUUCUUUUGUUCUUGGAAGAGUAUGAAUACCUUUCCCCAUGUUCCCCCAGGCUUCAGAUUCCAUCCGACGGAUGAGGAACUUGUUGAUUACUAUCUCAGAAAAAAAGUUGCUUCAAAAAGGAUUGAUCUGGAUGUCAUCAAGGAUGUUGAUCUUUAUAAAAUUGAGCCAUGGGAUCUUCAAGAAUUGUGCAGAAUAGGAACUGAAGAGCAGAAUGAAUGGUAUUUCUUUAGCCACAAGGAUAAGAAAUAUCCUACCGGAACUCGCACUAAUAGAGCAACAAAAGCUGGGUUCUGGAAAGCUACAGGAAGAGACAAGGCUAUAUAUUCUAGACAUAGCUUGAUUGGCAUGAGAAAAACCCUAGUGUUUUAUAAAGGAAGAGCUCCAAAUGGACAAAAGUCAGAUUGGAUCAUGCAUGAAUAUCGACUAGAAACUAAUGAAAAUGGAACUCCGCAGGAAGAAGGAUGGGUUGUAUGCAGGGUGUUCAAGAAGCGAAUGCCAACAAUGAGGAAAGUUGGAGAGUAUGACUCGCCUUGUUGGUACGAUGACCAGGUCUCCUUCAUGCCAGAACUUGAUUCGCCAAGGCGAAUUACUCAAACUUACGCAUCAUACCUGCACCAUUAUCCCUGCAAGCAAGAGUUUGAGUUGCAAUAUAAUAUGCCUCAUGACCCAUUCCUCCAGCUUCCUCAACUAGAAAGCCCCAAAGUUCCACAGUCAGCUGCAAGUGCCAAUUGCAACUCAGUAGUUCCUUAUGUUGUUUAUGAUAGGAACAAUGGAAGCACCUUGCAGUCCUCAACUCUUACACAAGAAGAACAAGUGCAACAACAUCAUCAAAAUUUGAACUCACUUUACCAUAACAAUGGUGAGCAAGCUGUGGAUCAAGUGACCGACUGGCGAGUCCUUGACAAAUUUGUUGCAUCUCAGCUCAGCCACGAUGAUGCUUCCAAGGAAGCCAACUACUCCAAUGCCGCGGCCUUUCAUGUGGCUGAACAGAUGAAUAUUCUUGCCAAUGAAUCCAAAAGGCCAGAAAUGGUGCAGGAAUACGCCUCAACGUCAACAUCUAGUUGCCAAAUUGAUCUAUGGAAGUGAUCGAAAACAUAUAUAUUACAUAUAGUUAAUUACUUGAGGAUGCAUACUAAUUAAUUAUAGGUACUACAGUUUAUAUGAAAAGGAGUCUUGAUGAUCCAAGUGGCUGUACAUAAUAAAACUAAAAUGGUAUUGCUUUAGCUAUUGGACUUAUUGUGUCCAUCGAUCAUAAUAUUUGAUGAGUACUAUAGGCUAUUAAAUAGAGUACAAAUGCCAACUGCAAAUAAGUUAGUGCUCUGUAUGGCUGAGCUUUGUGAGGACUAACUCAGCUGUUGAAUGUUGAAUGUAUCCUUGCCUUCAAUUUACAUGUGAAGGUUUUUUUGUUUUUAAAUAUAUAUCAUAUUACAACCUUUUCUUUUUUUUUUUUUU